GUGCGGGCCAGUGGGGAAGUGGGGAGGGGGGACAAUCGCGCUCAGGCUCGGUUCAAGGCAACCAUGCCUAGUGUGAGUACACCCUAACUCAGGAACACACUGCUGGGAUGUGGAGGUUAAAGAGUUUCUGCUGGAUUCACGGAGUAACUAUAGCAUCAAACCAAAGGAAGGGAUGUGAUUGUUUUAACACUGAUGUCUGGAGUGUGGAGUAUGAACAGGAAGGACUGUCUGAACCAUCUGGCUUUUGUAAUAAACGAAAGCUUGAUCAUGUUUGGAAUGCAGUGUAAGCUUUGCAAAUUUGCCCACAGUAUACUAGCAGAGAGGUCCUCUUGAAACAUUACAGGUUUCACCACUAUCAAGGGUGAUCCUGGAAGCAGCCUUGCUUGUUACUGACUGCAUCUGCACUUUCAAAACCACCUCAGAUAUCCUUGCUCAAAGAAAGGCAACAGCUCUCAAAGGGCUCCCUGUGUUUAUGAGGGAAAAGUCAGAAAACGUCCUGAAGACCUGCCUGGUUUUCUCCUCUGCUAUUGACGCUUGCUGGUUGGUGCGAGAUGCAUUCUGGGAUACCUGGCUGUCUCAAGUCCGCAGAAGUCACCUCUUGAUGCAUCCUCGAUAAAAGGGACGGAUCAAGAACACAUCCGGGUAUUUGAACUGUACUUGGCUAGAUAUGAACUUUGAAUUGGAACAGAACUUGAAACUGAUGAGUUUCACAAGAACAGACAAGAACGUAUAUUGAGAAACGGCCCUGAAAUGGGUGUGUCAGAUAUAGAGAGACAUACAAAAUGUGCAGGACAGGUUUGAGAACCAAUGUGAUACAGCAUUAACCUUUUAGCCUGAAUCUUUCAAUUCUGAAACGCCGUAACACGUGCCUGAAGUAGCAUAAUAAAAAAAACCUGCAGUACGUUCCUGUGCCAACGUAAUAAAAACGUGCCAUGUAUUGAA